UAGUGGCGAACGGGUGAGUAACACGUGAGUAACCUGCCCUUGACUCUGGGAUAAGCCUGGGAAACUGGGUCUAAUACCGGAUAUGACUGUCUGACGCAUGUCAGGUGGUGGAAAGCUUUUGUGGUUUUGGAUGGACUCGCGGCCUAUCAGCUUGUUGGUGGGGUAAUGGCCUACCAAGGCGACGACGGGUAGCCGGCCUGAGAGGGUGACCGGCCACACUGGGACUGAGACACGGCCCAGACUCCUACGGGAGGCAGCAGUGGGGAAUAUUGCACAAUGGGCGCAAGCCUGAUGCAGCGACGCCGCGUGAGGGAUGACGGCCUUCGGGUUGUAAACCUCUUUCAGUAGGGAAGAAGCGAAAGUGACGGUACCUGCAGAAGAAGCGCCGGCUAACUACGUGCCAGCAGCCGCGGUAAUACGUAGGGCGCAAGCGUUAUCCGGAAUUAUUGGGCGUAAAGAGCUCGUAGGCGGUUUGUCGCGUCUGCUGUGAAAGACCGGGGCUCAACUCCGGUUCUGCAGUGGGUACGGGCAGACUAGAGUGAUGUAGGGGAGACUGGAAUUCCUGGUGUAGCGGUGAAAUGCGCAGAUAUCAGGAGGAACACCGAUGGCGAAGGCAGGUCUCUGGGCAUUAACUGACGCUGAGGAGCGAAAGCAUGGGGAGCGAACAGGAUUAGAUACCCUGGUAGUCCAUGCCGUAAACGUUGGGCACUAGGUGUGGGGGACAUUCCACGUUUUCCGCGCCGUAGCUAACGCAUUAAGUGCCCCGCCUGGGGAGUACGGCCGCAAGGCUAAAACUCAAAGGAAUUGACGGGGGCCCGCACAAGCGGCGGAGCAUGCGGAUUAAUUCGAUGCAACGCGAAGAACCUUACCAAGGCUUGACAUGAACCGGUAAUACCUGGAAACAGGUGCCCCGCUUGCGGUCGGUUUACAGGUGGUGCAUGGUUGUCGUCAGCUCGUGUCGUGAGAUGUUGGGUUAAGUCCCGCAACGAGCGCAACCCUCGUUCUAUGUUGCCAGCGCGUUAUGGCGGGGACUCAUAGGAGACUGCCGGGGUCAACUCGGAGGAAGGUGGGGACGACGUCAAAUCAUCAUGCCCCUUAUGUCUUGGGCUUCACGCAUGCUACAAUGGCCGGUACAAAGGGUUGCGAUACUGUGAGGUGGAGCUAAUCCCAAAAAGCCGGUCUCAGUUCGGAUUGGGGUCUGCAACUCGACCCCAUGAAGUCGGAGUCGCUAGUAAUCGCAGAUCAGCAACGCUGCGGUGAAUACGUUCCCGGGCCUUGUACACACCGCCCGUCAAGUCACGAAAGUUGGUAACAC
rnacentral:rRNA from 1 species